GACGAACGCUGGCGGCGUGCCUAAUACAUGCAAGUAGAACGCACAGUUUAUACCGUAGCUUGCUACACCAUAGACUGUGAGUUGCGAACGGGUGAGUAACGCGUAGGUAACCUGCCUGGUAGCGGGGGAUAACUAUUGGAAACGAUAGCUAAUACCGCAUAAUAUUGAUUAUUGCAUGAUAAUUGAUUGAAAGAUGCUAUUGCAUCACUACCAGAUGGACCUGCGUUGUAUUAGCUAGUAGGUGAGGUAACGGCUCACCUAGGCGACGAUACAUAGCCGACCUGAGAGGGUGAUCGGCCACACUGGGACUGAGACACGGCCCAGACUCCUACGGGAGGCAGCAGUAGGGAAUCUUCGGCAAUGGACGAAAGUCUGACCGAGCAACGCCGCGUGAGUGAAGAAGGUUGUCGGAUCGUAAAGCUCUGUUGUAAGAGAAGAACGGGUGUGAGAGUGGAAAGUUCACACUGUGACGGUAUCUUACCAGAAAGGGACGGCUAGCUACGUG
rnacentral:rRNA from 1 species